rnacentral:antisense_RNA from 1 species
CUUCACCGACCCGAGCAGCAACGGCACGUCGCGGUCCUGCCCGUACGUCGCCAACAGGGCCUGCGCCUC